rnacentral:rRNA from 1 species
AUUGAACGCUGGCGGCAGGCCUAACACAUGCAAGUCGAGCGGAUGAGGGAAGCUUGCUUCCCGAUUUAGCGGCGGACGGGGGAGUAAUGCCUAGGAAUCUGCCUAUUAGUGGGGGAUAACGUUCCGAAAGGAACGCUAAUACCGCAUACGUCCUACGGGAGAAAGUGGGGGAUCUUCGGACCUCACGCUAAUAGAUGAGCCUAGGUCGGAUUAGCUAGUUGGUGAGGUAACGGCUCACCAAGGCGACGAUCCGUAGCUGGUCUGAGAGGAUGAUCAGCCACACUGGAACUGAUACACGGUCCAGACUCCUACGGGAGGCAGCAGUGGGGAAUAUUGGACAAUGGGCGAAAGCCUGAUCCAGCCAUGCCGCGUGUGUGAAGAAGGUCUUCGGAUUGUAAAGCACUUUAAGUUGGGAGGAAGGGUUGUAAGCUAAUAUCUUGCAGCUUUGACGUUACCAACAGAAUAAGCACCGGCUAACUCUGUGCCAGCAGCCGCCGUAAGAC